rnacentral:rRNA from 1 species
ACGGGUGAGUACACGUAGGUGAUCUACCCCAGAGACGGGGAUACGGGUGGAGGAUNCANGCUAUACGGAUAGGCUUGUUCGGUNCAAGGGACAGGGANAGGCUACGGCGCUCUGGGAGGAGCAUGCGGNCCAUCAGCUAGUUGGCGGAGUAACGGCCCACCAAGGCAAAGACGGGUAGGGGGUGUGAGAGCAUGGACCCCCACAAUGGGACUGGAACACGGACCAUACUCCUACGGGAGGCAGCAGCAGGNAAUAUUGCACAAUGGACGGAAGUCUGAUGCAGCGACGCCGCGUGGAUGAAGAAGGCCCUCGGGUUGUAAAAUCCUUUACAGGGGGAAGAGGAAGGACGGUACCCCUGGAACAAGUGUCGGCUAACUACGUGCCAGCAGACGCGGUAAGACGUAGGACACAAGCGUUAUCCGGAUUUACUGGGCGUAAAGCGUCUGCAGGCGGACAGGUAAGUUGGGCGUGAAAGCUCCGGGCCCAAACCGGAGAGGUCGUACAAUACUGCGUGUCUAGAGGGUGUCAGAGGGGAGUGGAAUUUCCGGAGUAGCGGUAAAAUGCGCAGAGAUCGGAAAGAACACCAAUGGCGAAGGCAGCUCCCUGG